rnacentral:tRNA from 1 species
CCAACUCCAUAAACAAC